AAAUGUUACAAUAUAUUUGAAGAUGACAAUAAAACAAUAAUUUACCAAUCUUUAUAUAUAUAGUUACGAUUUUAAUAAUGAAAUAAUAAUCUAAAAAUAUAUAUAGAAGAAGAUACAAAUACAUGUGAAAGUUUUAAACAAUCUAUUCAAUAAAAAAUAUACAGUAAAAUUAUUAUGUUUUACAAAUUGAUAGAUAACUUCAGAUAUAUUACAAUGUAUACCAUUUAGAAUUGAAAACAAAAUAUUUAUAAAAAAAUUAAUAAAAAAUAAAUCUGCGCUAUUGCGCGGGUUGAGAUCUAGUGAAUGUUUUAAAACUUUUAACACAAUAAUAAGUACAUAGUUUGAUGAACAUUAAGCUUGGGGUUUAAUUUACAAAAAGAUACAAAUCCACCACCGACUUUGCCCUAGCUUAUAAGGGAGCGUCAUCUAUUAUCCGUCGUUCGGCUUCGUGAUUGAAAUAAGAGAGUAAUUUUUUUCUUUCUUCAGUGGAGGAGAAGAGAAUCAUGGCUUGUCGUGAAGCGUUACCCGUUGGACGGGAAAGCUCCGAAUUUCUAACGUGCGCUUGUUGCUUCUCGCGAGUGGUAAAUUCCUGUCUCAAUCUUUGAAUUUCAUGCUGCUUUAUUGAUGUUCUGGUUGGAGACUUUGGUAAAUCUUAUUAUGAGUUUAGGGUUUCAUCAAAUUCGUGUAUAGCGGUUACUGUAAUGGGUGGAAGUCAUUAUUAUAGCGGCUUGUACCUGGCGUGUCUUCGAAAACGAAAAGGAGCGUGCCUGGCGUUUCUGCUACUGGGCAAGUAAUACCAAGUUUCCAUUGGUUACAACUGGAGAAAGGGAGCAUAUCUGCAACGAUGAUUUUUUGACAAGAAAAUGGGAGCCUGAUUGGCGUGCCUGCAACUUGACAAGUGGUGCCGACUUUCCAUUCCCCAGCCACAACAUAAAUACUGGCACUUUAGAGGAUCAGCAUUUGUCAGCAGAAGAUGGUUUAGGCACUUGGGAACCGCCAGAGGAUCAGCAUUCAAAUGUAACAAUCAUCUGCCAGUACUGCCGAGCGACCGCAGCUGCCCUUGAGAAGGAAUCUGAUACCACACAGAUGAGUCUCAGACUUUCAAUGCUCAAACAUUAUCAGUGUCCAUUCUUGCAUGUGAAUCAGAACACCAGCUCUCAUCCUUAUGUCACUCAAGAUUCAGCCCAAGUCAGUGAGAACAACGAACCCUCUUCUUCUUCCUACCAUCAGUGAUUUAAUGCCAUAGUCGUAUAUGUCACUUUAAUCUUGAUCCUGGAGCAUUGACAGAAAGCUUCCUUUGAGUAAAAUAGCUUCUGUCUUGGCAAACGACACAUGAGAAUUUCAUGUUUCAUUGCACAGUCUUCCCUCACCAGCUACCUUGUUAAGCUAACAGUGGACGCCAUUGACUCCUCUGGAACAAAAGUUGUUCAAUCAGUAGCUGAAGAAACUGAAACUCCUAUGAGUUGUUAUGAUGUACCAGAAACACUAUUGAUGAAUGAUCCCUCACUGCUGUGUUGAAUGUGACACAAGCAGUGGUUCAUCUUCAUCAAGUGUUCAUGAUGCAUUCAUUCCAGAAGAAAACACUUUCUGAGUUUGGUGGCAGGCUGGCAGCAAUAUAUGUUUCUUUUGCGGUUGGAAGCCAUGACACAGUAAUGGUGUUCUUUAUACCAAUGCAGUUCAAACUAGAAAAAGAUAUUGUGGUUGGAAGAAGAGAAAUGAGUUUUUUUCAAUCCUACAAAGAAUCGUUAAGAUUCAGAUUUGAAUAAUAAUUUCCUUAAAGCAAACUGAAGGUGUUAAAAUUAGUUUUAUU